rnacentral:rRNA from 1 species
CCUACGGGCGGCUGCAGUGAGGAAUAUUGGUCAAUGGGCGCGAGCCUGAACCAGCCAAGUCGCGUGAGGGAAGACGGUCCUAUGGAUUGUAAACUUCUUUUGUCGGGGAGCAAAAGACGCCACGCGUGGCUUUCCGAGAGUACCCUAAGAAAAAGCAUCGGCUAACUCCGUGCCAGCAGCCGCGGUAAUACGGAGGAUGCGAGCGUUAUCCGGAUUUAUUGGGUUUACAGGGUGCGCAGGCGGAAGAUCAAGUCAGCGGUAAAAUUGGGAGGCUCAACCUCUUCGAGCCGUUGAAACUGGUUUUCUUGAGUGAGUGAGAAGUAUGCGGAAUGCGUGGUGUAGCGGUGAAAUGCAUAGAUAUCACGAAGAACUCCGAUUGCGAAGGCAGCAUACCGGCGCUCAACUGACGCUGAAGCACGAAAGCGUGGGUAUCGAACAGGAUUAGAUACCCGAGUAGUC